rnacentral:rRNA from 1 species
UACGAAGGGGGCUAGCGUUGUUCGGAAUUACUGGGCGUAAAGCGCGCGCAGGCGGUUCUUUAAGUCAGGGGUGAAAGCCCAGAGCUCAACUCUGGAAUUGCCUUUGAAACUAGAGAACUUGAGUACGGGAGAGGUGAGUGGAAUUCCGAGUGUAGAGGUGAAAUUCGUAGAUAUUCGGAAGAACACCAGUGGCGAAGGCGGCUCACUGGCCCGUUACUGACGCUCAGGCGCGACAGCGUGGGAGC